AAAUAGUUUGAUUUUAGCUACCAUCUCAAUUAAUGUAAAACAUAAUACAUGCAACUAACAAGUAACCCGUACAAUUAACACCCCACCCUUAAAGCCUAUUACAACCAGUAUAAGUCAAAACUAAAAAACACAUGUACGCCUGCAGUAAAGAAUUUUGCCAAAAUUUUACCUAAAGAAACAGGUAUUACCUUAAGUGCUGACCCAAUUCGUGCCAGCAGUCGCGGUUAAACGAUAAGCACAAAUUGAGACCCCCCACGGACGACGUAACAGAUAUAAUUUACAUAACAAAAUGGUAUAAUAUAAAACUUAUCACUAGCUCUACAUAUAUCAUCAACCCACACACGAAAGAAUAAACCAAAACAAGGAUUAGAUACCCUUCUAUUUUAUUCAUUAAACUUAUGUUCCGGGCACUACGAAUACACGUUUAAAACCCAAAAAAAUUGGCGGCACUUUAUGCUAUUAGGGGAGUCUGUCAGUUAAUUCGACAAUCCACGCUCAACCCUUCUUGUUUUAGAAAUACAGCUUGUAUACUGCCGUCGUAAGCUAACAUUAAUCAAAAUAGUUAGCAAUAAAAUUAAAUUUCCUACGUCAGGUCAAUGUGCAGCCCAUAAACAAGCCUUGAUGGACUACAAUAAAUACAAAACAAGAUAACAUUAAGAAAUAAUGUUAGAAUAUGGACUUAAUAGUAAAAAUUAAAUAGAAUAUAUAAUUGAAUAAGCAAUCUAAAGUGUGCACACAUCGCCCGUCACUCUCACCACAACCAAGGCGAGAUAAGUCGUAACAUAGUAGGCGUAACUGAAGUUGUGCCUU
rnacentral:ncRNA from 1 species